CCGAGUCGCCUACGCCUACGUGCACCGCCUCACGCCCGGGCUCCCCGGAGCGCCUUUGCGAGCAGUGCACCCCUCUGCCCUCUCCCCGCGUUCCAGAAGCUUCCACGGCGCGCCCUGCCCAGCCCUCCUCUACUGAACCCAGCGCUCCCGGAGGCGAGGGGUGACCACCGGGGCUUCAGCCUGCCUGGCUGAGUAGGCUCUUGUCACUCUCCCAGCCACAGUGAUGAUGGGGAUUCCAUCCCAGGACACUGUUGCUUCUGAGCUUAGCCAUCCCCAUGUCGGAGAAGGCCAUGCUUUUGGUUUUAUUCUGUAAACAGAAACUUUUCAUUGUGCGAUGAACAUUUCUCCGGCUGCUGAUGCCAGGAGAGCCGUAGACUCUUUCCAGUAAUGAAGCUUGUAAAUCUGGCUGAUUCCUAGUCCAGCUUGUGCAACCUGAGACUGACUGUGCCUUAACAUGAUCUUCCUGUCCGGCACAUGGAAAAUUACUUCUGAGGAUGUGGAGGAGCCAUUCCUGGGCUCCUGGGAGCCGCCUCCACUACUUUGGGUUUUGAUAAGCUGUUCACAUAGUCAUCAUUGGAAGGUCACAGGUGUCAGCAGGGCAGGAAAGGCAAGAACUGUUGCUGUUGUCACUGCUGAACCAAAAUGGGGGCCAUCUUUACCCGAGGCUUGAGGAGAGCUGGCAGUGGCCAUGCUGCUGUUGCAUUCCAGACCCUGCCAAAUUCCAAGAUGAGCAGACUCUCUCCCUUCAAGUACCUACACACUACUGUUUUUUUCAGAUCUAUAGUGCAUCUCAAUAAAAGUUUGUUAGAAAAAAAUGCUAUUUGAGUACUGGAUGUAGAUUUUUAAAGAUAUUUCACUAUCUUAGAUUAAAAAACAAUUUGAAUAACUAUCUAGACACCUUGUUUAUAGUUGUAAAAUGUGUUUGAUAUUGCCCUACCAUUAAGUAAUAAAACAUUAGAUUUAUGA